UACAGAGGGCUCAAGCGUUGUUCGGAUUCAUUGGGCGUAAAGGGUGCGUAGGCGGGCCUUUAAGUCAGGGGUGAAAUCCUGGAGCUCAACUCCAGAACUGCCUUUGAUACUGAAGAUCUUGAGUUCGGGAGAGGUGAGUGGAACUGCGAGUGUAGAGGUGAAAUUCGUAGAUAUUCGCAAGAACACCAGUGGCGAAGGCGGCUCACUGGCCCGAUACUGACGCUGAGGCACGAAAGCGUGGGGAGCAAACAGG
rnacentral:rRNA from 1 species